rnacentral:rRNA from 1 species
GAUGAACGCUAGCGGCAGGCCUAAUACAUGCAAGUCGAACGGGUUGUUGCAGCAAUGCAACGAUCAGUGGCGCACGGGUGCGUAACGCGUAUGCAACCUACCUUAAACUGGGGGAUAGCCUUCCGAAAGGGAGAUUAAUACCGCAUAAGAUCACACGAGGGCAUCUGAGAGUGAUUAAAGAUUUAUUGGUUUAAGAUGGGCAUGCGUGCCAUUAGCUAGUUGGUAGGGUAAUGGCCUACCAAGGCUACGAUGGCUAGGGGUUCUGAGAGGAUGAUCCCCCACACUGGUACUGAGAUACGGACCAGACUCCUACGGGAGGCAGCAGUAGGGAAUAUUGGGCAAUGGACGGAAGUCUGACCCAGCCAUGCCGCGUGCAGGAUGAAGGCCUUCUGGGUUGUAAACUGCUUUUAUCUAGGAAGAAAAAGCCCAUGCGUGGGAAACUGACGGUACUAGAUGAAUAAGCACCGGCUAACUCCGUGCCAGCAGCCGCGGUAAUACGGAGGGUGCAAGCGUUGUCCGGAUUUAUUGGGUUUAAAGGGUGCGUAGGCGGCCCGGUAAGUCAGUGGUGAAAGCCUCCAGCUCAACUGGAGAACUGCCAUUGAUACUGCCGGGCUUGAGUACAGACGAGUUGG